rnacentral:rRNA from 1 species
UACGGAGGGGGCUAGCGUUGUUCGGAAUUACUGGGCGUAAAGGGCGUGCAGGCGGUCUGUUAAGUCUAGGGUGAAAGCUCCCGGCUCAACUGGGAGAGGUCCUUGGAUACUGGCGGACUUGAGGGAGGCAGAGGAGUAUGGAAUUCCCGGUGUAGUGGUGAUAUGCGUAGAUAUCGGGAGGAACACCAGUGGCGAAGGCGGCUUCCUGGACCAGCACUGACGCUGAGGCGCGAAAGCUAGGGGAGCAAACAGG